AUUGAACGCUGGCGGCAGGCCUAACACAUGCAAGUCGAGCGGAUGAAGGGAGCUUGCUCCUGGAUCCAGCGGCGGACGGGUGAGUAAUGCCUAGGAAUCUGCCUGGUAGUGGGGGAUAACGUCCGGAAACGGGCGCUAAUACCGCAUACGUCCUGAGGGAGAAAGUGGGGGAUCUUCGGACCUCACGCUAUCAGAUGAGCCUAGGUCGGAUUAGCUAGUUGGUGGGGUAAAGGCCUACCAAGGCGACGAUCCGUAACUGGUCUGAGAGGAUGAUCAGUCACACUGGAACUGAGACACGGUCCAGACUCCUACGGGAGGCAGCAGUGGGGAAUAUUGGACAAUGGGCGAAAGCCUGAUCCAGCCAUGCCGCGUGUGUGAAGAAGGUCUUCGGAUUGUAAAGCACUUUAAGCUGGGAGGAAGGGCAGUAAGUUAAUACCUUGCUGUUUUGACGUUACCAACAGAAUAAGCACCGGCUAACUUCGUG
rnacentral:rRNA from 1 species